rnacentral:lncRNA from 1 species
ACAGGAUUAAUUAAAGAAAGAAAAAGAAGGAAUGUGAUUAAAAUAGAGAGGGGUAACAGUGGGCGAGAGACGACGGCUUGGGUUCUCACCGGUGGGAGGAGGCGGUGAUUCGUGGCGGUUCUCAGUCCUGGCUUCCCUCUUCAUGGAUGGCGUUCCAUGACCCGUGAGCCAGGUGGCUUCAGUAAUGAAUCUUAUCCCUCUCCAGUUCAAAUUUACUUAUCUUUUACUAUAUAAAUUAAUUGGUGAUAUGAAAAUGGAUUUGAUUACCGAUUCAUCGAAAACAAAUCAGAAUUGUUUUAAGAUUGCCAAGAUGCACCAUUUACUUUCAUGAAUGUAUUCAGAAUUAAUUUGACGUAUAUACAACAUGAAUAUGGACUUAGAACUGAUGAUUAACAAUUGAAUGAGGAGGGAUAGGUUGUUACCCAGGAGAACUUUGUACAUAACCUUGCUAUUAUUAUCUUCACCUGUUAUUGAUCCCCUUUUCUCUAGCUUUUGAUAUCUCGGCUGUUUCUUACUCUUCAAUCCUUUCAAUUCACUGUUUUUUUGUUCCUGAUUUCGGUAUGUUGUGUUAUGUUUUGUGUAUGUAUAUGUCUCUCUCUCUGAUUUCUCUUUUAUCUGUGUAUAUGACUCUCUAACUGUUGCUUUUGCUGUGUUAUGAGCGGGUCAUACUUCCGGAUAAACUCGCGUCUAUUCUUCUUGGAGGUUUAUGACGGCAACAGAAAAGCAAAAGUGGAGAUGGGUACCUCGAUUCUUACUAAACUGGUUCGGUUUGGGAACUUUGGGUUGAUGAAAAAUGAGAACAAAAAUUGGAAGAUGAUAGUGAUGAUUUUGAAAAGACAUGACUUACUAAUAAGUCACCACAUAUUGUU